UACGGAAGGCAGCAGUGAGGAAUAUUGCACAAUGGGCGAAAGCCUGAUGCAGCUAUGCCGCGUGUAUGAAGAAGGCCUUAGGGUUGUAAAGUACUUUCAUCGGGGAGGAAAAAACAAAACUAAUAAUUUUAUUUCUUGACGUUACCCGAAAAAGAAGCACCGGCUAACUCCGUGCCAGCAGCCGCGGUAAUACGGAGGGUGCUAGCGUUAAUCAGAAUUACUGGGCGUAAAGAGCACGUAGGUGGUUUUUUAAGUCAGAUGUGAAAUCCCUGGGCUUAACCUAGGAACUGCAUUUUGAAACUGAAAUACUAGAGUAUCGUAGAGGGAGGUAGAAUUCUAGGUGUAGCGGUGAAAUGCGUAGAUAUCUGGAGGAAUACCUGUGGCGAAAGCGGCCUCCUAAACGAAUACUGACACUGAGGUGCGAAAGCGUGGGGAGCAAACAGGGAUUAGAUACC
rnacentral:rRNA from 1 species